UGGUCCAGAGAGUAUGAGAAAGAGAGAAUUUUAGAUUUUUUUUUUUCCCUUGUUGAUCUAAGAGAGAGAAAGUUUUAAAUUUUGUAUUUGUUUAUGACUUUUUUGAGGUUAAAAAAAAAGCUAAUGCCCAUCUUCUACUAUAACUUCCCUUCAUCUCUCUAGGGUGGCUCUGGCCAGAAUCAAAAUUAUCCUUCUGUCCAAAAUGACAAAAAGUGAUAUCAUCCGAGCAAGUAUGUGGUGG
rnacentral:lncRNA from 1 species